UUGUCGGUGAAAGUCCGAUCCGGGUAAACGCCAGAGAGCUCGGUAGCUAUUCUCGGAUGUUUUUGGGCAACCGGAGAUGUCUAAGGGAGAAUAUUAGGCCAUUUGAAUGGAGGUGCGAAACACUGAAUUUUACAUUA
rnacentral:ncRNA from 1 species